rnacentral:lncRNA from 1 species
CUUUUGAUUUUGGUCUUAAAUCUGGACUUUACUGUAAAGUUGACCUUCUACGAAUUUGCCAAAGUAAGCUCCAUUUUUCAGUGAAGGUAUUCCUUAGAAGCAAACAGGCAAAGGGAAGAAUGAGAAAAAGAAUCCAAUCCAUAUUCCAUAAUCAAGGAAGGAACAAGGAGAUGGAAACACUUGAGACAGAGGACUGAAGUGUGACAGAUAUUCAGGCAAUAAUUCAGGAAGUCCUGGGAAGCACUUGGGCCAGUUGAAUGAAGAUGACCUAACAGAGAGGACCUUGUUUAGUUGAAUUAUUUACUCAUCAUUUAAGCCACGUCAUUUCUAUGAUCUUAAUUUUCCCAAAUAUCGUCUUCCCACAUCAUGGUCUAUAGGCAUUCUAGGAAGCCUACAACCAAAGCAAAGAGUGGAACAUUUAGCAAAUAAUAUCAAAGAGAAAAUAAAACAAAGCAACUUUUACUGUAUUUGUGCUUUCAAAAGACAGGGG